AUUCAGUAUUUACUAUCUGUUCAUCAGAUGACAUGAUUUAGUGAUUCUAUCACACAAAGAACAAGUCUUUACCACCAGAUUUGGGUUGGCGCACUCAGUCCAGGCUGCAGAGCUUUGGGACCUUCCUGCCAACAACGGCCCCUUCCUGCACAGUCUCUUUAUCUGACCAGGCUCUUCUGAACCUUCUUCUUACAAAUGGCUUUGUUCUUCUCCAAAGGCCCUGGGCAGCCACUGGGAAGCAUUCUUAAGUUACCUCCUCAAAUUCUACAAUGAUUUGGAGAGCAGAAGAGAAUCAGGUUCUAAUGCUGAAUCAAAAUCCCUUGAAGAUCUGGCACCCUGAAAUAAGUGAGCCACCAACAGGAGUGGCCACCAGAGAGUACGUCAAUACGAAGAGAUGCACAGAUUCAGAACAAUCAGACUUUGAGCUCGACAGACUACAGAGAGCAAUGAAAAGGUGAUACUCACAUCCGAGUUAAAGCGAAGCUGACAGACAUUACAAGAAAUAACUUGUUUCUUCUUUGGGGGAAUGGACACUCCAAAUGUGUGGUUAAUGACUGCUUUUUGCACAGGAUCCAUCUGAAGAGCAAAUGAUAAAAUAGUCAAUUUAUAACCUCCAAGAACAGACAGCAGUGUGAGAAGUCAAAGUAGCUGUAUUAAUCCUUAAGGUUUUAACUUUUCGUUCUGAACCAAGGAUAAUAAAGAAUCUCAUUCAAUAAUAAUAUACUUGGUUCCAGGAAUUAAAAACAAAACAAAAAACUGGUUUGAAAACAUAACACAAAAAAACUACAGGAGAAUCACAACAUUACAAGAAAUCUUAUAUCUAUAUAAGAAACUUUGAAAAACCUUAAAAGAAUCAUAGAACGCAAAAACUUAAGAUCCAAAGGUUAGGGUUAAAAUGAAUUGUUCGUAUUUUACCCACAUGAGGUGAUAAUACUUCAGGUGGUCUGAAAUGACCUCAGUUGUGAUUGUUACAGAUACAUCUAAGUUCCUUAGUUUUUUUUUUUUAUCUAUGGCAAAGUCAUAAAUAACAGGCUCAUAUUAUAGCACAGAAAAUGUUGAUAUUUAUUUUAAAAUAAUUUAUUGUUGUUCAUAUGCUACAGAUAUUCAUUCUACUGGAAGUGCAUGACCUAUUUGUACACUCAGAUGCCCCUAGCAGAUUGGUUAAUAUGCAACCCCGUUUAAAUAUUUAUCAAGUAAAGUUUUGACUUAUAACUUG